AUUCAGGACACACUACCCGCAAAAUAUGGCACCUUGACAUCUUGAAUAUUUUCAGAUAAAGGAACUCAAGAAAACUGCACAAGUAGGAAGGUCACUGUGACCCUCACGCAGCCUUUCUCCCCUGAAGUAGGUCAUAAAACCUCCAAAGGAUUUUCUGACUCUCCCCAGAAGCAGGUCACAAGACCCUCAUGUGAGAGGUGCCCUCCCUAUACCUGGAGGACAGGAGCGUCCUUCUCUCUGAAGACACGAAAACAGAGAGAAUCUGCACAAGCAGGUCUUGAGAUGAAACAGGAAAGGGAAUGCGUUGGAGCCAUUUUUUAAAACUACAAACUGUUUCUCACUACCCUCUGGACUGUUGGCGUUCUACCAUUGACGGAGGGUGGAGCUGAAAAUUCUGGGCAGCUUUCCUCCAACGAGCCCAAGAAUCUGAAAGGCCACCCUGACACCCACGUACUACUCACCAGACACAGCCAGCGUCACUGGACAGCCACAAGUUUUGUUUUUGUUUGGUUUUUGAAUUCAGAGCUUCUGUUUGAGGCUUAGAGUUUCCAAGAUGGAGCAGGGACCCCUCUUAGGGGCCUACGGGGCCCCCUAAGCAUAAAGGAAAAUCUUGAGUUCCUUCCAAAGAAAUUCCAGGUACCUAACUAGCCCUAAGAAGUAAAUGAACAACUUGAUAAGCAAGAAAGUAACAGUGGUCUACAACAAUAGCCAAGUAAGUGAGAGCCUUGAGUGAUGGUAUGUUUGAUUCCCUAUAGAAACUAAAGAUAACAUCUUAACAUAUAUCCGUGAAUUGUUUUCCAGAAGCCCUGACCCCGACCAAAGGUUCCCCUGGCACAUCCACCUGAGAUAAAGAGCUGAGGACUGAAUUCUGAUGACCAUUCUUUGUUCUAAAUUCCUUCCUCAGAGGCCUGGAGCAAGUCACAUCCCCAGGCCAGACCUUAACAUUCCUUCCUGCUAACCCCAAGUUUUUAGACAAAGCUUCACUUCCUUAACCAGUCAGGAAUCAGAGUCUUCCUCCCGCUGCAGAGAACCUUGGUGUGAAAGUUCUGCUUUAUUGUGCCGGGUGAGCGGACCCCAGACGGAGUCUUGCUCUGGAGUGCAGUGGCCCGAUCUCAGCUCACUGCAAGCUCCACCUCCCAGGUCCACGCCAUUCUCCUGCCUCAGCCUCCUGAGUAGCUGGGACCACAGGCGCCUGCCACCACGCCCGGCCAAUUUUUUUGUAUUUUUAGUAGAGACGGGGUUUCACCGUGUUAGCCAGGAUGGUCUCGAUCUCCUGACCUCAUGAUCCGCCCACCUCGGCCUCCCAAAGUGCUGGAAUUACAGGCGUGAGCCACCGCGCCCGACCUCCUCUUAGUAACUUUCUACCCACUGACUCUACUCCUUGGCUGUAAAUCCCACUUGCCCAUGCUGUAUUUGGAGUUGAGCCCACUUUCUCUCCACCACUGCAAAAUUCCACUGUUGUGGUCCCUAUUUCUAUUGCAAUGUUCCUGAAUAAAGCCUUCCUUGCUGUGCUUUUACAGUAUUAUUGAGUAAUCUGGUUUUCUUUUAUACUGGAGAAAGAGGGAUUAGAGGUAAGUGGAAUUGGUAUCUAUUGGUUAAAGCCAAGAAAUUAACACUGUUCAUUCUUCUCCUCCCAAAUUCAAAAUGAAAAGAAAAAAAAGACAUAAGUGUCAAAUGGAGAUAAAUAUUAGCUUGAUUAUUGAUAAAAGUGGGAUUGAAUGACAGAGCCUAGAGGUACAACCACAUGGACUUGCUAAUUCUUUGCCCUGGGGAUCAAGCAUUUUCUCCUCUGGUCACCGGUCCAGCCUGAAGCCUAUGGGCCUUCCCAGGUGCAAUGCUCCAUGGAGAAGCAAAGGAAACUUACACCCUGAGGAGAGGCCAGUUCCAAAAGAGAUCCAGCAGGCCUGGCAUCCACUUUGACACUUACCAGUUAAGCAUGUCAUCAGGGAGAGAAGGUAAAAUAAGGGUCUAAGGAAAACCAAACAGAGAUUGUUAGCAGAGGUUGGGAAGGGUAGCAGGGAGCAGGAGAUAAAGUCAGGAUGGUUAAUGGGUACAAAAACACAGACACAAUGAAUAAAAUCUAGAAUUUGGUAGCACAAUAGGAUUACUGUAGUUAUCGAUAAUUUAUCCUAUAUUUUCAAAUACCUUAAAGAGUGGAAUUGGAAUGAUCCUAACCCAAGAUAAAGGUUUGAGGUGAUGGAUACCCCAAUUUCCUUGAUGUGAUGAUUACUUAUUGCAUGCCUGUAUCAAAACAUCUUAUGUACCCCGUAAAUAUAUAUAACUAUUAUGUA
rnacentral:lncRNA from 10 species